rnacentral:rRNA from 1 species
GACGAACGCUGGCGGCGUGCUUAACACAUGCAAGUCGAACGGGUCUGCCCUGUUUUUUGCGGGGUGGGUCAGUGGCGAACGGGUGAGUAACACGUGAGUAACCUGCCCCUCACUUCUGGAUAACCGCUUGAAAGGGUGGCUAAUACGGGGUGUUCUGGCUGUGCCGCAUGGUGUGGCUGGGAAAGAUUCACUUUUGUGGUGUUUUGGUGGGGGAUGGGCUCGCGGCCUAUCAGCUUGUUGGUGGGGUGAUGGCCUGCCAAGGCUUUGACGGGUAGCCGGCCUGGGAGGGUGGGCGGUCAGACUGGGACUGAGGUACGGCCCAGACUGCUGCGGGAGGCAGCAGUGGGGGGUAUUGCACAAUGGGCGGAAGCCUGAUGCAGCGACGUCGCGUGAGGGAUGGAGGCCUUCGGGUUGUGAACCUCUUUCGCCGGUGAAGAAGGUCCUGCUCUUUGUGGUGGGGUUGACGGUAGCCGGGUUAUGAAGCGCCGGCUAACUACGUG